rnacentral:rRNA from 1 species
GUAGGGUGCGAGCGUUAAUCGGAAUUACUGGGCGUAAAGCGUGCGCAGGCGGUUCGUUAAGUCAGAUGUGAAAGCCCCGGGCUCAACCUGGGAACUGCAUUUGAAACUGGCGGGCUUGAGUGUGGCAGAGGGGGGUGGAAUUCCGCGUGUAGCAGUGAAAUGCGUAGAGAUGCGAAGGAACACCGAUGGCGAAGGCAGCCCCCUGGGCCAACACUGACGCUCAGGCACGAAAGCGUGGGGAGCAAACAGGAUUAGAUACCCUGGUAGUCCACGCCCUAAACGAUGCUCACUAGGUGUUGGGGAAGCGAUUCCUUGGUACCGUAGCUAACGCGUGAAGUGAGCCGCCUGGGGAGUACGGCCGCAAGGUUA